AUAGAGGCCUACCAUGGUGGUAACGGGUAACGGGGUGUUAGGGCACGACACCGGAGAGGGAGCCUGAGAAACGGCUACCACAUCCAAGGAUGGCAGCAGGCGCGCAAAUUACCCAAUCCCGACACGGGGAGGUAGUGACAAUAAAUAACAAUACGGGGUUCUUUCGGAUCUCGUAAUUGGAAUGAGUACAAUUUAAAUCUCUUAACGAGGAACAAUUGGAGGGCAAGUCUGGUGCCAGCAGCCGCGGUAAUUCCAGCUCCAAUAGCGUAUAUUAAAGUUGUUGCAGUUAAAAAGCUCGUAGUUGAAUUUCGGGGUUAGUAGGUUGGUCAUGCCUCUGGUAUGUACUGGUCUCACUGAUUCCUCCUUCCUGAUGAACCGUAAUGCCAUUAAUUUGGUGUUGCGGGGAAUUUGGACUGUUACUUUGAAAAAAUUAGAGUGUUUAAAGCAAGCUAACGCUUGAAUACAUUAGCAUGGAAUAAUGAAAUAGGACGUUCGAUCCUAUUUUGUUGGUUUCUAGGAUUGACGUAAUGAUUAAUAGGGAUAGUUGGGGGCAUUAGUAUUCAAUUGUCAGAGGUGAAAUUCUUGGAUUUAUUGAAGACUAACUACUGCGAAAGCAUUUGCCAGGGAUGUUUUCAUUAAUCAAGAACGAAAGUUAGGGGAUCGAAGACGAUCAGAUACCGUCGUAGUCUUAACCAUAAACUAUGCCGACUAGGGAUCGG
rnacentral:rRNA from 1 species